GAUGAACGCUGGCGGCGUGCCUAAUACAUGCAAGUCGAGCGAAUGGAUUAAGAGCUUGCUCUUAUGAAGUUAGCGGCGGACGGGUGAGUAACACGUGGGUAACCUGCCCAUAAGACUGGGAUAACUACGGGAAACCGGGGCUAAUACCGGAUAACAUUUUGAACCGCAUGGUUCGAAAUUGAAAGGCGGCUUCGGCUGGUACUUAUGGAUGGACACGCGUCGCAUUAGCUAGUUGGUGAGGUAACGGCUCACCAAGGCAACGAUGCGUAGCCGACCUGAGAGGGUGAUCGGCCACACUGGGACUGAGACACGGCCCAGACUCCUACGGGAGGCAGCAGUAGGGAAUCUUCCGCAAUGGACGAAAGUCUGACGGAGCAACGCCGCGUGAGUGAUGAAGGCUUUCGGGUCGUAAAACUCUGUUGUUAGGGAAGAACAAGUGCUAGUUGAAUAAGCUGGCACCUUGACGGUACCUAACCAGAAAGCCACGGCUAACUACGUGCCAGCCGCCGCAGUAA
rnacentral:rRNA from 1 species